AUGGAAAGAAUAGGGGUCAUCUAAGAGUCUCCUUUCGCGCAUACACACAUCUUCUGCUUUCUUCCUAAAAGUUACCAACCUGUAAGAGUAUCAAAGUCGCUAUACUUCAUUCUUGAUUUUCUUUUGAGUGCUUUUUUUUUUUUAAGCCUUCCUUUUCUCAUCCCAAUCCUUCCCUUUCCGUACACUCCCUCCAGGACCUCCCCUCCCCCCAGCCACCAGCAGUUAAAAUAAUCCACCUCUUAGUUUUCGGGCCCCCAAACCGACCUUUUCCCCACUCCAGCGGCCAGUUUACCGAGAUCUUUUCCUGAGGAUGGAGGCCCAGGUGGAUCCGGGAAAUAUAUGCUGUAGUGUUAUGUUUCGAGUUUCUUUUCUGCCUUCCGAUAUCUGUUAUUUUUUUUCCCUCCAUCCAAGACUCUGGCUGAGGUUGUCUGAAGGAUGCCGAGGAAAAAGACCUAAGGACUGGGAGCUCUCUUACCCCAAGAUAGAUUGCUGGAUUUUAUUUCACUGCUUACUUCUUCAAGCUGGUGGAGUGCAUUCUUUAAGAGCUACCUGAGAAAGACUAGGAAAAGCUUUUUUUCUUUAUAAUUGUGACAAAAUCGUUCUAUGGAGAAACAAGCUUUCAGUCACCAAGGUAAAAUAAUCAAGAAACAGGAGACUCGAGCAAAUGUAACAGAGAAGCAUCUCUGACUUCUAUACUUAUCAAAUAAAACAAAUUUUACACAAUAGAAGAAUGCAAGUCUAUAUUUUCUGGAAAGCUUGGAACACUUUUGUGGUAUUUGAGAUGAUACAUAAAGUGGUCUUUGAGUUACAAAGGGUAAAAGAAAAUCCUCUAAUUACAAACUGACAAAGGCAAAAGCUUUGGAGCAGCAGUGUCUCUUUGGUCUGCAUCGGAACUACCAUUCCUAUUGGUGAAGUGCUCAUCAUCAGAUCUUUGCCUAUCAUUGGACAUCUUGUGAAGUUAUUCUUGAAAAAUUUGUGCACCUGUCCUGCUCAUGCACUCCUACAGUGUGAGGGUGGGAGAGAGAAGAAAACCCCUUAAGGUAAUGGAUGCACCUGGGGGAGGGGGAGAGGAUGCCAGGGGAAAAAAGGAGGCUUGGGAUGGGGAGUGUAGAAUAUUGAAAGUAGGAGGGAAUUGUGCCCCUUAGAAUUUUUUUCCCAGAGUAGUUAAUUUUUUUUAAGGGCAUGGCCAAUGACCCUGUUUGGGGACAGGUUGUUUUUGGUUGAGGCAGGGGUUUGUGGAGAUAAAUAUGUAUGAUACAUGACACUCUGCCUUUGUCAAAACCCAUGGCACAAGAAUUAACUUUAAUGUAUGCAAAUAAAACAUCAUUUAGAAGGU
rnacentral:lncRNA from 1 species